rnacentral:rRNA from 1 species
AAGGUUUAAAACAAACGGGUGGGGGUUUAACCCCUUGCCCCCCCGGAAUGACCCGGGGGAACAACCCCCGAGGGANAACUCGGGGCUAAUACCGGGAUACGCUCGGGUUCACACCAGUGAUCCGAGCAAAGGGUAGCUUCGGCCUCCGCAUUGGGGAUGGGCCCGCGGCGCAUUAGCUUGUUGGUGGGGUAACGGCCUACCAAGGCGACGAUGCGUAGCUGGUCUGAGAGGACGAUCAGCCACACUGGGACUGAGACACGGCCCAGACUCCUACGGGAGGCAGCAGUGGGGAAUCUUGCGCAAUGCGCGAAAGCGUGACGCAGCAACGCCGCGUGGGGGAAGAAGGCUUUCGGGUCGUAAACCUCUUUCAGUUGGGACGAAGCUUCGCCGGUGAAUAGCCGGCUGGAGUGACGGUACCUUCAGAAGAAGCCCCGGCUAACUACGUGCCAGCAGCCGCGGUAAUACGUAGGGGGCAAGCGUUGUCCGGAAUCAUUGGGCGUAAAGCGCGUGUAGGCGGCUCGAUAAGUCAGCUGUGAAAGUCCAGGGCUCAACCCUGGGAUGCCGGUUGAUACUGUCGGGCUAGAGUACGGAAGAGGCGAGUGGAAUUCCUGGUGUAGCGGUGAAAUGCGCAGAUAUCAGGAGGAACACCAAUUGCGAAGGCAGCUCGCUGGGACGUUACUGACGCUGAGGCGCGAAAGCGUGGGGAGCAAACAGG